UACGUAGGGUGCAAGCGUUGUCCGGAAUUAUUGGGCGUAAAGAGCUUGUAGGCGGUCUGUCGCGUCUGCUGUGAAAACUCAGGGCUUAACCCUGAGCUUGCAGUGGGUACGGGCAGACUAGAGUGCGGUAGGGGAGACUGGAAUUCCUGGUGUAGCGGUGAAAUGCGCAGAUAUCAGGAGGAACACCGGUGGCGAAGGCGGGUCUCUGGGCCGUAACUGACGCUGAGGAGCGAAAGCAUGGGGAGCGAACAGG
rnacentral:rRNA from 1 species